AGUGGGUAGAUGACAGAUUAACUAAGACUGGCUAUUCUGGAAGAGGAGGCAACGUGUUGGGGAAGAUGAUGAAAUCAGUUUAGACAUGUUGACUUUGACAUGCCUGUAGGGCAUACAGGUGGAGAGGUCCCAAGGGCAGCUGGAAUCAUAGCACUGGAGCCCAGGACACACAUCUGGACUGAAGAUAGAGAUUUGGGAGCUGUCAGCCUAUAGGUGAUGGUUAAAGAUCAAGGAGGGGAUAAGAUAACCCAUGGAGCAAAGGAGGAGGGAAAACCACAAGGAGGAUCCCCACCUGUAAGAGGUUUUAUGUAGACUGCUGCCUAUAUACACACUACUGCCCUUGCCUGGAACAUCCUCUUACCUUCCCUCCACAGAUCCUUCAAAGCAAAACCACUUCUGAGCCCUAUCUCAGCACAGCACAUUGGGAAAUCAAGACCAGAAGUUGUCUGUGACCAGUGGCCUCUGAGGAAGUGCCCUGCCCAUGUUGUCAUCAGCAGCCUCUUUUGCGCCACCAUUUUACAUCACUUCUGGGAAGCU